rnacentral:lncRNA from 1 species
CCCCGUCAAUCAAGCUAAAGUAAGUCUAGACUGGACAGUCUAAUUGCUGCACUGGUUAAAUUAUGUUCAUCAAGCUCAGUAGCGUAAAAGAAAUAUUGUCUAGCUGAGUCUGUUUCUCCAAAUAUCUGAUUGCAUAUGCCAAGACACGUACAGAAGAAUGAUUUAUCAAUUGAGGAACAUUCAUUAGUAGUUAGAUGUUUCAUAAUUGUUUGUUUUAACUGAAGCAAAGAAU